rnacentral:misc_RNA from 1 species
GAUGAAGAACGUAGCGAAAUGCGAUAAGUAAUGUGAAUUGCAGAAUUCAGUGAAUCAUCGAAUCUUUGAACGCUCAUUGCGCCCCCUGGUAUUCCGGGGGGCAUGCCUGUCCGAGCGUCAUUACAACCCUCAAGCUCAGCUUGGUCUUGGGCCCCGCCGCCCCGGCGGGCCCUAAAGUCAGUGGCGGUGCCGUCCGGCUCCGAGCGUAGUAAUUCUUCUCGCUCUGGAGGUCCGGUCGUGUGCUCGCCAGCAACCCCCAAUUUUUUUCAGGUUGACCUCGGAUCAGGUAGGGAUACCCGCUGAACUUAAGCAUAUCAAUAAGCGGAGGA